AUCGAUGAAGAACGCAGCGAAAUGCGAUAAGUAAUGUGAAUUGCAGAAUUCAGUGAAUCAUCGAAUCUUUGAACGCACAUUGCGCCCCUUGGUAUUCCGGGGGGCAUGCCUGUUCGAGCGUCAUUUCAACCCUCAAGCCUAGCUUGGUCUUGGGCUCUGCCGGCAACGGCUGGCCUUAAAAUCAGUGGCGGUGCCAUCGAGCUCUACGCGUAGUAAUUAAACCCUCGCGUGUGAGUCCCGGUGAGUGCUUGCCAGCAACCCCCAAUUUCUAUGGUUGACCUCGGAUCAGGUAGGGAUACCCGCUGAACUUAAGCAUAUCAAUAAGCGGAGGAAAAGAAACCAACAGGGAUUACCUCAGUAACGGCGAGUGAAGCGGUAACAGCUCAAAUUUGAAAUCUGGCUCUUUCAGGGUCCGAGUUGUAAUUUGUAGAAGAUGCUUCGGGUGUGGCUCCGGUCUAAGUUCCUUGGAACAGGACGUCAUAGAGGGUGAGAAUCCCGUAUGUGACUGGCUGCCUCCGCCCAUGUGAAGCUCUUUCGACGAGUCGAGUUGUUUGGGAAUGCAGCUCAAAAUGGGUGGUAAAUUUCAUCUAAAGCUAAAUAUUGGCCAGAGACCGAUAGCGCACAAGUAGAGUGAUCGAAAGAUGAAAAGCACUUUGGAAAGAGAGUUAAACAGUACGUGAAAUUGUUGAAAGGGAAGCGCUUGCAAUCAGACUUGCACGCUGCCGAUCAUCCGGGGUUCUCUCCGGUGCACUCGGUAGUGUUCAGGCCAGCAUCGGUUUGGGUGGUUGGAUAAAGGCCUUGGGAAUGUAGCUUCUUUCGGGGAGUGUUAUAGCCCAAGGUGCAAUGCAGCCUACCUGGACCGAGGACCGCGCUUCGGCUAGGAUGCUGGCGUAAUGGUUGUAAGCGACCCGUCUUGAAACACGG
rnacentral:rRNA from 1 species